GGAACAGUACCAAUAAUAAGAUAAUUAAGAUGUAGAAGCUGUGUGAUCAAAGGUAGAGAGCUGUAAAUCAGAGGGAUUGGAAGACUAUAUGCUCGUGGAAAAUCCAGGUGCAAAAUCCAGAACAAUCAUGGACAGAGUGGAGGAAAGAAACACUACCAAGAUCAUAGAAAGAAGAAGAAAUGUCCAUGUAGAAAGCAGUAUUGUCACAGCAAGGAGCUGAAUCAUCUUGCACAGAAGUGUACGACUUUAAGGAAGUGCAAUAAACAGUUACAGACUUCCACCCAAGAGAUAUCAGCUCAAGAUUAUGAUGAACCAUUCUACUCGACACAACAGUUUAGUGCAGUAAACUUGAUAUAUGAUACGUGGUUUGUAACUGUUGGAAUACUGAUUGUAGAAGAACAGCAGGGAAAUAUACAGUCAGAAAAUGGUGGCCUUUGUAAUAGCCUGACCUUCAAAGACCUGUGAAAAAUACCUCAACAAAAAAAUCCAACAAUGAAUCAUUAAAUGAGGCUGAGGCUAUAUGAGAUACCAUAUCCCUGCUGAGAGGACAAAUUAUUCCAUUUCAUUGCAAUGACAUGAACAAAUAACUGGAGUUCCAGGCCAUAGACAAUAAUGAAAAUACACGCAGCUCAGUCAGAGCUAAUCGAAACAUUUGGCUGGUAACCCUCAACAGACAAAAGAUAUUUGCAACCUUUGCAGUACCUGUUGACCAUUAAACAGAUCCUGAAGAAA